ensembl:misc_RNA Metazoa_SRP Metazoan signal recognition particle RNA
GCCGGGCGUGGUGGUGCACGCCUGUAGUCCCAGCUACUCGGAGGCUGAGGCAGAAGAAUGGCGUGAACCCGGGAGGCGGAGCUUGCAGUGAGCUGAGAUCGGGCCACUGCACUCCAGCCUGGGUAACAAAGCAAGACUCUGUCUCAA